ensembl:lncRNA
UGGAAAAAUCCUUUUUCCUUUUAACAUGGCACAGGUGUGUAAUGGCAUGGCUCUUGGUAGAAAUAUGCAAAGGGUGUGUUAUUAGCUACCUGAUACAGGUGUGUGUGUUUGUAUGAGACAGAUGUGCCUCUUAUCUGAUGCAGGUAUGUGUGUGCAUGUAUGAGGCAGAUGUGCCUCUUACCUGAUACAGGUAUGUGUGUGUGUGUGUAUGUAUGAGACAGAUGUGCCGCUACCUGAUGCAGGUGUGUGUGUGUGUGUGUGUGUAUGUAUGAGACAGAUGUGCCGCUACCUGAUGC